UCUUCCCUCUGGCGGCGUGCCUAACACAUGCAAGUCGAACGGAAGGACGCUGCUUUUGCUUGGUUCUCGAUAGGGGCGGGGGUGAGAAACACAGGAGUAUGCCGGCCUUAUCUGUAUGAGAUCAUUACGAAACAGCGGAUAUUACAUCGGAGGAUCUCCUGCUGCGUGGGGUUCGUAGGAGAAUUAAGGCGGUGGUGGAUGGAAUAGCGGGUUACGAGCUGGUUGGUGGAGUAGGUGCUUACCCAGGCUUCGACGGGUAGGCCGCGUGGGAGGGUUGCCGGGCACCAUGGGACUGAGAUACGGACCAGACUCCUACGGGAGGCAGUAGUGGGGAAUCUUGCACAAUGGGCGGAAGCGUGAUGAAGAAACGUUGCGUGCGGGAUGACGGCCUUCGGGUUGUAAACCGCUUUAGCCUGUGACGAUGCGUGAGUGACGGUAAUGGGUAAAGAAGCACCGGCUAACUACGUG
rnacentral:rRNA from 1 species